rnacentral:pre_miRNA from 1 species
AGUAGAAUAACUGGGUCAAAUGGUGGUUUCAUUCCAAGUUUUCUGAGGAAUCUCCAUACUGCUUUCCAGAGUGGUUACACCAAUUUGCAUUCCCACCAGCAAU